UGAGAUGUAAACGAUCUGGGAACUGUCAUUGUUGGAAGGUGUAAAGCUCAGGAUGAAGGAGACUGGGAGGAUUUCAAAGAGGAAAGUUUGAAUUUACAAAGUGGAAGCCCAAUGAUCAAGACUAGAGAAAGAUAUUGAGAAGUAAAUGCCACAGAAGACACUGCAAGAAAUUGACCAUGAACAAACAACAUGGAGGGCAUGUUUAUGGUGACUAUUCGUCCAGAGAUUUCCAAGCUUGAGCUACUUGCUCCUGGAAGGUGCCUGGGAUAACAGAGGAAUGGAAGAGGAAGUCCCGCCAUAGAGCACAUCUUCCUCCCCACCGGUACUAAUUCAUGGAACUACAUCACGUUGGUUUUAAAAAAUGGAAAUCUGAAUGCUUGGUGACAGAGCUUGCAGCAAGAGAAGAAGAAGAAAAAAACUGUUGCCUAUUCCUCCAAGUUACAGAAAAACUGGUACUAUUAUGCAUCAUAAAACUGGCAAUUAAAAUGUUAUUUCUAACAGAAAAUUCUGGAAAACACCCAGACUCUAAAAAAAUCUUACUGCUCAUCCCAGACCUUUGCUGAAAUGUAAGCUUCUCCUUGUAGCCUUUCUUGACCAGCUGAUUUAAAAAAUUUGCCUCCAUCAGACCCCUGAUUUCCUACUCUCUCUCCCUCCCUCCAAGUCUUCUCCAUGGCAAUCAUCACAAUCUAACACAUAUUUUACUUAUUUUGUAUUUAUUUUCACUAAAAUAAACUCCUGACCUUCUGUA